rnacentral:rRNA from 1 species
AGUGAACGCUGGCGGUAGGCCUAACACAUGCAAGUCGAACGGCAGCACAGUAAGAGCUUGCUCUUACGGGUGGCGAGUGGCGGACGGGUGAGGAAUACACCGGAAUCUACUUUUUCGUGGGGGAUAACGUAGGGAAACUUACGCUAAUACCGCAUACGACCUACGGGUGAAAGCAGGGGAUCUUCGGACCUUGCGCGAUUGAAUGAGCCGAUGUCGGAUUAGCUAGUUGGCGGGGUAAAGGCCCACCAAGGCGACGAUCCGUAGCUGGCCUGAGAGGAUGAUCAGCCACACUGGAACUGAGACACGGUCCAGACUCCUACGGGAGGCAGCAGUGGGGAAUAUUGGACAAUGGGCGCAAGCCUGAUCCAGCCAUACCGCGUGGGUGAAGAAGGCCUUCGGGUUGUAAAGCCCUUUUGUUGGGAAAGAAAAGCAGCAGGUUAAUACCCCGCUGUUCUGACGGUACCCAAAGAAUAAGCACCGGCUAACUUCGUG